CCUUCUAGUGGUUGUUGUCCUUUCUAGCAUAGCUUAUUGGCCACCUAAUUGCUUGGGCAGAGUUGUGUUCAAACGCCUAAUUCCAGGACGGAGUUUUAUUCUCUGCUGAUGGAUCUAUAUGUGGUUGGGGGAGUGCAUUUUAAAGUUCAGGCCAUUUUCAAGUCUGCCUGGGCUUUUACUUUCUGUUGGACCCUUUGGCAUCUCCUCUGCAUAAUCAUGCAGCCUCAGCCAAGAAUAUGCUGGACUCAUUUAUGACUACAUCCUCAGGUUAGUAGAACCCAUGACUGCCUUGCUUGCCUGCUGCUGAGAUUGUCACUUGCACCUACAAUGCCCAGGGCAUAGUGUGGCCAUCCACUCCAAACUGAAUGAGGCCCCUUUGUUAGUGCAAACUGGCAGAUCCUCAGGGCAUGCCCCAUCUCAAUCAGUAGAACCUACUGAGCUGGGAGGUGGGGGGAAAUGGGAGCAGCCUCAGGCAAGACAGAUUUUCACUGUUCUUAAUUAAAAUUUUGCAGUUUUCAAGCAUCAACACUUUGGUUUGUGUAUGCUUUUUGAGUGAUUUCCAGAGCACUGAUUGGCUGUUUCUGUCAAUUUUGUCUUGCUUUAUAGUUUUAUUUUGGGGAGAAGAUUUGCUGACCCCAUCACUUGCACAUAGCCAGAAGUCCUGCUCUAACAAUACUUAUGAAACUCUGUACUCAUAAUCCAUCACAUCUCUUUCACUCAGAGGUUGCUUUCCCGUUGCAUCUUUGACAUAGUUUCCUAGACUCUGCUCCAUGAUUUAACUUGAAAGUCUGAAAUGAAGAUGGAGGAGGCAGUGGGAAAAGUUGAAGAACUCAUUGAGUCUGAAGUCCCACCAAAAACAUCUGAACAAGAGACAGCUAAGGAGGAAGAUGGAUCCGUAGAACUGGAAUCUCAAGUUCCGAAAGAUGGUGUGGCGGAUUCUACAGUUCUUUCUUCAAUGCCCUGCUUGUUGAUGGAACUGAGAAGGGACUCUUCUGAGUCUCAGUUAGCAUCCACGGAGAGUGACAAGCCGACAGCUGGUCGAGUUUAUGAGAGUGACUCCUCUAACCACUGCAUGCUUUCCCCUUCCUCUAGUGGUCACCUGGCCGAUUCAGAUACACUGUCUUCUGCAGAGGAGAAUGAACCCUCCCAGGCAGAGACAGCAGUAGAAGGAGACCCUUCCGGAGUGUCUGGUGCCACAGUUGGGCGCAAGUCUCGCCGGUCCCGAUCUGAAAGUGAGACAUCCACCAUGGCUGCCAAGAAAAACCGGCAAUCCAGUGAUAAACAGAAUGGCCGAGUCGCCAAGGUUAAAGGUCAUCGGAGCCAAAAGCACAAGGAGAGAAUCAGGCUACUGAGGCAGAAACGGGAGGCUGCUGCACGAAAGAAAUAUAACUUGUUGCAGGACAGUAGUACCAGUGAUAGUGACCUGACUUGUGACUCAAGCACGAGCUCAUCAGAUGAUGAUGAAGAAGUUUCAGGGAGCAGCAAGACAAUCACUGCAGAGAUACCAGAUGGACCUCCAGUUGUAGCUCAUUAUGAUAUGUCUGACACCAGCUCUGAGCCAGAAGUGGUAAAUGUGGACAAUUUAUUGGCGGCUGCAGUAGUUCAAGAGCACAGUAAUUCUGUAGGAGGCCAGGACACAGGAGCUACCUGGAGGACCAGCGGGCUUCUAGAGGAGCUGAAUGCGGAGGCAGGUCAUUUGGAUCCAGGAUUCCUAGCAAGUGACAAAACAUCUGCUGGCAAUGCACCACUCAAUGAAGAAAUUAAUAUUGCUUCUUCAGAUAGUGAAGUGGAGAUUGUGGGAGUUCAGGAACAUGCAAGAUGUGUUCAUCCUCGAGGAGGUGUGAUUCAGAGUGUUUCUUCAUGGAAGCAUGGCUCUGGCACGCAGUAUGUUAGCACCCGGCAAACACAGUCAUGGACUGCUGUGACUCCCCAGCAGACUUGGGCGUCACCUGCAGAAGUUGUUGACCUUACAUUGGAUGAGGAUAGCAGACAAACAAGGAUGGCUGCAGAGUGCCAGUCGAAGCUUGCCCGGUGUGUCGUGGGUUCAUUGAUUUAACAUGUGUUGACACCUGUCACUGAAGAUAAUGGAAGAGAAAGCUCCUGGCCUGGCAAGAUGGCCAAGAAGCACACAGACGAUGACAACAGACGUGAUGGGUGCAGAGGUGGUGAUGAGUACUGAGCAGUCUGGGGACACCGACCCCAUAUCUUGGGAGCUUAGUGUGACAAGACGUGACACUGGAGAGAUGGGGGAACAAAGCCGCAGAAGGCGUUAUCACCGUGCUCUUGACCUGAAGGCCCUGGGAAGCCACUGGAGAGUGUCAGUGCGGGGGAGGCGUGCGGAGAUGUGUGUGGAGAAUGUGCUAGAAAACAACGUGCCUGGAGGAGAGUGGUCAGGGAGGGGGCCCGUCACCACCACACAGGUCAGAUGUGACGGUGGCCCGCCUGCCAGAGGGAUGAUAGAAGACCAGUCAAGAUGGUGAAAUAGGCAAGACUUGGAGAAUCCUGCCUUCAGUCCAUCCUCCUCCACAGACACACUCCAGGGCUUGUGUCCUUGAAGCCCUUCUAAGCACAGUGACCGUCCUGCAAAGGACGGCGCCCCAGACGUGCCACUCAGUCCUGUUGUCAGGCCUGCACCUGUGGCACCUGAAACAGAAGCACUUGGAGUCUGAGGAGGGUCUGCACCCCUCUGCCUGUCCCACCAAGACUGGCCCAGUGUUUUGCCGAGCAGAUAUGCGGAUAGGCAAAAAUCCAGUCUUUUGAUAAUCUGUUCUGUUGGCAAGGCUGUGGAGAAAUAGGUGGUUUUUGACAUUGUUGGUGGGAUUGCAGGACGCAAGACCCCAUGAAGGAGAAUUUGUCACACCGAAGAAAACUAAGUACACUUUUACCCUCUACCCAGUAACCGAACUGUGGGAACUUACCCUGAACAUACACCUCAACCACAUGGAAAUAUUGGUGUAAAGAACACUGGGGCCUGCCCAGCUGCACCGGAAAGAACACCAGCACCAAGAAGAGGAAGAGCAAUGACACCAAUGCCAAGGCGACCACCAGAGGGGUAUCGGUUACCAGGGUGUAGUAAUUCUCUACAGAUGGCUUCAGGACAAAGGGGAGAUUGUCUUGGGUGGAGCACACCGUCUUUGUAUUGUUCCCCGAAUCUCUGU